AAAAAGGGCUUCUGUCAUGAGUGGCACAUGCAGAGCAGCUUGAUUGCUCUAUGUGUGGAAUCGACAUCAAGAGAUUUCGGAAGAAUUAGUUUUUGGUCCUUGGGCAGCUGGUAAUCAUUGGUCCUGGUGCCUGC
ensembl:snRNA U11 spliceosomal RNA